NNNNNCUUCAGUAGUGACUUGCAUGACAGGACUAGAAACCUGCACACAGUCCUGAGGCAAAAAGUUCAUAAAACUUAGUAUCCUGGAACCAUGGCAUCCCAUAUAAUGAAUGCUCCAAACUUGUGCUUGCGAAUGUAUCUUUGUGCUUGCUUUCAGUAUUGUUUUAUGAUGGGUGCCUCCAAGCAAUGGCUUGCCAAAUACCUAAGCAAAAUUGAACCUUGGUUCCUGGCCUUCACCCAUGCCCUAGAGAGUCCUUGAACCUACCCUAGGCUUGGAAUUCAGUAAGAAUGUUGCCUAUUCAGUGUUAUUCAGUAUUGCCUCUAAUAUUGUAAGAGAGAUAGUGAAAGAAAUCAGGCAUUAACUACUACAUAAGAGUUAGAAAUCUCAGGGCAAGUUUAGCAAAGCAAGUUUAGAAUUCUUACUAUAGUUAUGUAUGUCAGACUACUUAUUAGUAGAAAGUCCCCCCACACAAUCACUUAGAAUAAAAGCUGAGCCACUCACAUAUACAGGAAUUUACAAUGGUUUAGGAAGUAGAUCAGGCUGUGAUUUGAGGAGAAACUAGUAUAUUGCAUUAUUUUUGAGAAGGUUAGCUAGAGCAGAACUUCCUAAUUAGAACCAUGACUUGGGCAUGAAAGCCCUUGCCCCAGGAGUGUAAAGACCUUACACCUGGCUUCUAAGAAUAUGGCUGACCUUAGAUAGAGCUGACUUUGUCUCAGUUGUUUUAUUGCCCAGUUCCUGCCAGUCUUUAUGUUUGCAUUCCUCUGUUUUGUGUAAGGGUCAUUAAGCAUCCAGUAUAAAGAAGCAGAAUGCUGCAGGAGCAUGCUAGCUCCCACAGUGAUUGGUGAGAUAUGUUGAUGCUGGGACAAAGAACGAUGCUGACCUGUGAGCUUGCAGAGUUUCCUGACAAUGAAGACAGGAAGGCUGUUUUGGACAUAAGUUCCUGAUCUCAGAUUGGACAAGCUGCCUUGCUUCAAACUUUUAGACCUUGUGGGACUAAGAACAUGGAGACUGGAAACUGCCUUCAAAAACUUAAUCAAAAAGAGAAGUUAUGAUGACUCUUCUCUUUCCUUUAAUGUGACCAGUUAUUCAUAUUUAGUCAUGGACUGUUCUAAUAAUCAAUCCAAUAUUAGAAAUUGUUAUUUCUUUAUUUGGAAGGUGUAUUAGUCAGGGUUCUCUAGAGUCACAGAACUUAUGGAUAGUCUCUAUGUAGUAAAGGAAUUUAUUGAUGACUUACAGUCUGCAGUCUAGUUCCCAACAAUGGUUCAGUAGUAGCUGUGAAUGGAAGUCCAAGGAUCUAGCAGUUACUCAGUCUCACAGGGCAAGCAGGCAAAGGAGUGAAAGCGAGACUCCCUUCUUCCGAUGUCCUUAUAUGGUCUCCAGCAGAAGGUGUAACCCAGAUUAAAGGUGUGUCCUUGAACUCAGAGAUCUCCCUGUCUUAAUCUUCUGGAAUCCAUAGCCACUGUGCCUCAAGAUCUCCAUACCAAGAUCCCGAUCAGAAACUUUUAUCUCCCAGCCUCCAGAUAAGUGACCCUUCCAAUUCUGGAUUGUAGUUCAUUCCAAAUAUAGUCAAGUUGACAACCAGACAUACAGAAGCCUGGUUCUGGUCAUUUUUAGAGACAUAUUUGAAAGUUAGCUACAGUUCUCUAUGAUGCAAUGUUAGCAAUAGAUUGAGACAGGAUAUAGUAAAUAUUAAAGCUAGGUUAGCAGAAAUUUCAUAUUUGGACACUUGGAACAUUGAUGAAUUGGCCAGAGAUUUAGAGAAUAACCUAAGUGCUUUGAAUCCCUUGGAUUGGGUUCAAAAUAUAAUCUUGCUUGCUAUUAUUAUUGACAUUAUUUUAUUAGUAAUUGUUGUGUUUCCACUCAUGCUUAGAGUUCUUCUGAGAUCUGUAGCAAUGGCAAGGCAGGACGUGUGGAGUCCCCUUCUAAAAGAUAAAAGAAAGGAGGAAAUGCCACACCCACUCUAGUAGUGACUCGAUUGACAGGGCUAGAAACCUGGAUGCAGUCCUGAGGCGAAAAAUUCACGGAAACUUAGUCUCCUGGAACUGUGGCAUCCUAUAUAAUGGAUGCUCCAAACUUGUCCUUGUGAAUGGAUCUGUGUGCUUUCUCUCAGUAUGGUUUUAUUAUAGGUGCCUCCAAGCAAUGACUUUCCAAAUACCUAAGCAAAAUCAAACUUUGCUUCCUAGCCUUCACCAGUGCCCUAGAUAGUCCUUGAGCCGACCCUGGGCUUAGAAUUCAGUAAGAAUGUUGCCUAUUCAGUGACAUUCAGAAUUGCCUCUAGUAUUGUAAGAGAGAUAGUGAAAGAAAUCAGGCAUUAACUACCUAUUACAUAGAGUUAGAAAAGGGUUUCUAUUCCUGCACAAACAUCUUGACCAAGAAGCAAGUUGGGGAGGAAAGGGUUUAUUCGGCUUACACUUCCAUACUGNNNNNNNUCACCAAAGGCAGUCAGGACUGGAACUCAAGCAGGUCAGGAAGCAGGAGCUGAUGCAGAGGGCAUGGAGGGAUAUUACUUACUCCCUUGCUUUCCCUGGCUUGCUGAGUCUGCUCUCUUAUAGAACCAAGACUACCAGCCCAGAGAUGGUCCCACUCACAAGGGGCUUUUCCCCCAUGAUCACUAAUUGAGAAAAUGCCUUACAGCUGGAUCUCAUGGAGGCAUUUCCUCAACUGAAGCUCCUUUCUCNCAUUUCCUCAACUGAAGCUCCUUUCUCUGUGAUUACUCCAGCUGUGUCAAGUUGACACAAAACUAUCCAGUACACAAAGCAAGUUUAGAAUUCUUAUUGUAGUUAAUUAUGGCAGACUACAUUACUCAUUAGUAGAAAGUCCCCCCCCCACACACACACGAUCACUUAGAAUAAAAGCUGAGCCACUCACAUAUACAGGAAUUUACAAUGCUUUAGGAAGUAUAUCUGGCUGUAAUUUGAGGAGGAACUAGAAUAUUGCAUUAUUUUUGAGAAGGUUAGCUAGAGCAGAACUUCCUAAUUAGAACCAUGACUUGGGCAUGAAAGUCCUUGCCCCGGGAGUGUAAAGACCUUACACCUGGCUUCUAAGAAUAUGGCAGACCUUAGAGCUGACUUUGUCUCAGUUGUUUUAUUGCCCAGUUCCUGCCAGUCUUUAUGUUUGCAUUCCUCUGUUUUGUGUAAGGGUCAUUAAGCAUCUAGUAACCUCAGUGUACCUUGCUGAAGUGUCACCUAACUUCCCUAUUUUCUUCUGUAUUAAAAGUCUGGUGUUCAAUUUGACAAAUUGCAUUCAGAUACAGC
ensembl:lincRNA Gm15675 predicted gene 15675